CUUAAGUAGGCCAACUCUUCAUUGACAAGUUUUUCUACUUGCUUCCGCCACCGUCACUCUCUCCCUCCACCAGACACGGCCAGUAACAAAAACGUACACGGCGCCCCCACGCCGACAUACCUUCUCAUCUUCCCUUGUUACCGGAGAAUUCUUUUCCUCCUUAAAUUUUCUUCUCUUCCCUCUACUUCCCUAAUUUCACUUUUUAUCUUCUAUACACGUAUAUAUACACCUUUUAUUUACAUUUUUACAAUAUUUUAUCUACUUCAUUUUUUUCAUUUUCGAUUUAUAUUUUUCUUCUUCAUCAUUAAUUUUCUGGGAUUUGCAUAUAAUUGUAAGUUAAUCGUAAAUGAAAAGGUAUCAUCCAAUUAUGAUUAGGGUGUUUUUAUUGAUUUGCAAAAUCCACUGGGUUCCGUUUCAUCAAUGGUAAUCAACGACGACAUGCAUCCGCCUCCAGCUCCACCGCCACCUUCCGAUCCAAAAAAUAAAAAUUCAAAUUCAAGGUCCGCCGUGACGCACAACGGGGCAACGGGCAACAACCACCACAAACGAAACCAACAUAGCCCCGAGCUACAGCAAGUGAAGAUUAAUGAUAUAGUGGGUAAUGGGAUUUGUGGGCUUCUGUAUAAAUGGGUUAAUUAUGGAAAAGGGUGGAGGCCUAGAUGGUUUGUUUUACAGGAUGGAGUGUUGAGUUACUACAAGGUCCAUGGUCCUGACAAGAUUGUGAUCAAUCAGGAGACUGAGAAGGGAUCGAGAGUGAUUGGAGAAGAGUGGAUUAAACGGAUUUUGCGGCAUCACCGGCACCAUCAUCAUAAGCAUGGUGGCAAUGGUGGUUCCUCUUCGAAAAGCCGGAAGCCCUUUGGCGAAGUCCAUCUAAAGGUUUCAACUAUUCAGGAAAGCCAUUCUGAUGAUAAGAGAUUCUCCAUUUUUACUGGAACAAAGAGGCUGCAUCUGAGGGCAGAGAGCAGAGAGGACCGAAUGGCAUGGAUGGAAGCAUUGCAGGUAGUUAAGGAUAUCUUCCCGAGAAUGUCCAACAGUGAAUUGAUGGCUCCAUUGGACAAUGUAGCUGUCUCAACAGAAAAGUUGAGGCAGCGUUUGUUGGAAGAACGCGUGAAUGAGUCUGCCAUCCAGGACAUCGAACAAAUCAUGAAGGAUGAGUUUGCAUCUCUGCAGAAUCAAUUGAUGUUGUUGAAGCAGAAGCAUUGGCUCCUCAUGGAGUCACUCCGACAGUUAGAGACAGAAAAGGUGGAUCUGGAGAAUACAGUUGUUGAUGAAAGCCAAAGACAGUUCAAAGAAGUUGGGUCAUCCACUGGAUCAACGCUAGACAAAUCAAGCGCGAGUCCAAGUGAAUCUGAAGAUGAUAAUGAAAGAGUUGAUGCACCAGAGGAAGAUACAGAUGAAGAAGACAAUACUUUCUUUGACACCAGGGAUUUUCUUUCAUCAAGCUCUUUUAAAAGCAAUGGGUCCGACCUCAGGACGUCAUCAUUUUCAUCUGAUGACAACGAUCUUUAUGCAUUUGAAGUUGAUGAUUGUAAUGAGAGCGCUGUUGUAUCUGCCAGAGCUAACUUCCCUCUUGUGAAGCGUCGGAAGAAAUUGCCAGACCCAGUUGAGAAAGAGAAAGGAGUGAGUUUAUGGUCAAUGAUCAAAGAUAAUAUUGGGAAGGACCUCACAAAAGUGUGUCUUCCUGUCUACUUUAAUGAGCCACUCUCUUCUCUUCAAAAGUGUUUUGAAGAUUUGGAAUAUUCAUAUCUGAUUGAUCGAGCUUAUGAAUGGGGAAAGAUGGGUAACAGCCUUAUGAGGAUUCUAAAUGUAGCUGCAUUUGCCGUAUCUGGAUAUGCUUCAACUGAAGGAAGAAUUUGCAAACCAUUUAAUCCUUUGUUAGGGGAGACUUAUGAAGCUGAUUAUCCCGAUAAAGGCCUUCGAUUUUUCUCAGAGAAGGUGAGUCAUCACCCAAUGAUUCUAGCAUGCCAUUGCGAAGGAACAGGCUGGAGAUUUUACGGUGAUAGCAAUUUAAAAAGCAAAUUUUGGGGGCGGUCUAUCCAGCUUGAUCCAGUUGGUAUUUUAACAAUUGAAUUUGAUGAUGGAGAAGUUUUCCGGUGGAGUAAGGUGACAACAUCUAUAUACAACCUGAUUCUUGGGAAACUAUAUUGCGAUCACUAUGGUUCAAUGCGGAUACAAGGAAAUGGUGAUUAUUCGUGUAGUCUAAAAUUCAAGGAGCGGUCUAUCAUGGACAGGAAUCCUCAUCAGGUAAAAGGAACAGUCCAGGAUAAGUCUGGAAAGACAGUAGCAACUUUAUUUGGAAAAUGGGAUGAGAGCAUGCAUUAUGUCAAUGGAGACUGCUUGUCAAAAGGGAAAGCUGAAUCUUUGUCAGAAGCUCAUUUGCUCUGGAAACGUAGCAGGCCUCCUAAAUUCCCUACGCGAUAUAAUUUGACACGCUUUGCCAUUACACUGAAUGAGCUCACUCCAGAGCUGAAGGAAAUGCUUCCCCCGACUGAUUCGAGACUGAGACCUGACCAGAGGUGCCUGGAGAAUGGGGAAUAUGAAAUGGCAAAUGCUGAGAAGUUGCGACUAGAACAGCGGCAGCGGGAGGCGCACAGGAUGCAAGAGAGAGGUUGGAAGCCACAGUGGUUUGCAAAGGACCAAAAGACUGAUAACUUUCGCUAUAUUGGCGGUUAUUGGGAAGCAAGAGAGCAGAGAAACUGGGAAUCAUGCCCUCAUAUUUUUGGUGAAAUAACCUCUGAUCAGACUUGAGAAAAUGCAUUCGUGCUGCACCUUGUAGAUGGAAGAACAAACGAACGAGAUAAGGAUAAUAACUACGUAUACUUUUGAAGAAAUUAUGGCUCAUCUUGCUGCAUCUCUUUCUAGGCCAAGAUGGAGGCACGGCAUUAAAAAUUACAGAAUGGGAUUAUAAACCUGGGUUGUUCCAAAGGUACGUGUUUUGGGUAACUGAAUGGAAUGGUACUGUGCGGGAUUGAAGAGGUGCGUGUUCAAAGGUCUCUUGAGUCAUUAUAUUGAAUAGCACGAGGCAAGAUUGAAAAGUAAUCGAGGUAUAUAACAAAAUUUCUCAAUUGUUCUGUCAGUAUAAUGUCUCGUCAUUUAAUCGAGAAAACAAUAGUCUAAUUAUUUUCUCUCAUUCGUUAAUACUCCACAAUGUACCUAAUCGAACAAAUCAUUAUUCAUUGACAGAACUUAGUGACAAACAUGUCUAAAUUAACUUGGGAUAUUUUAACGUAACUAUUUAAAAUUGCCUCA